rnacentral:lncRNA from 1 species
AGUCUCAUAUGAGCGAGAUCAGAUUGCAAAGAGCAAGCCGCUUAUCCCGAGUUUCAGCGGAUAAUUUUGUUGCCUGAUGGGGAAAAAGUUUCAGUUGUGUCGCGAGACUUUUUCAAACUACCCCCCAAGACGGUCGACAGCUGACUGAAAAGUAACAAUAGCGGCGAGCAUCCUUUCAACUUUGGCGAUAUAAUGCUCACAGGCUUUUGUGCUCGUGUGCGUGCACGUGCUCAUGAUCGUCCAGAUAAAUGAACAUUGUUGUUAUUUCAACGUUCUUGUACUAACAAGACGCAAGCAGACAGGCAUAAAUCGGCCGAUCGCGGUAUCAAAUUAUGUCCUCCCACUUCUUACAAAGGAGUAAUCGGUCUUAAUUCUAAUAACAGACUUGACCGAUCUUCGAAGAUCUAAAUUUGAUUUUCCUGUUUUUUAUUUCUUUCAGGAAAAUUUUCCGACGUCUUGCCGUUUUCUCGAUGCCGUAAUUUUAUUUGGAAAUUCCGAUGUUCACUUCCAGAUGAAGUACGACAGGGAAUCGCAUCCCCGAAACAUCUGCGUGCCUAUGCCGCAAUAAUGGUCCUUCCUGAGUUUGUCAUUUAGCGUUAUCCGAUUAUUCCAUGACAUUUUUGUAUUGACGUGGAAGAAAACCAACAAGCGUCACGUAAAAGUAAAGUUACGUUGACUGUAAAACGAUAGGAAAACAUUCGAUAAGCGCGACUUAUCUUUCCUGAAUAUCUGCUCUCUCACGUGAGAGAUAUCUCGUUUAACAUAAACGAGUACAUAAAAGUGACGGUUCUUCCCUUUUUUCUGACUAAUCGAAUGCACAUACUUAUGAUACGAUCCGACGUUAGAUGACUUUAAACACACCGUGCGCAAUGCGAUGAAGGGUAAGAAAAGAAGGGAGACAUAUUCACAUACAAUUUUCUUUACGGGAAGAAAAAUUAAAUAUCGGAUGAUGAUAUCGUGGGGGUUGUUUCUAAUUUUAUCCCAAUCGCAGAUAAUUCUAUCCCGAGCGAAUUCCUAUUCGAAUAAAUAUGAAUCACGCUUUCACAGUCGCGUGAAAGCAUUUUUAAUCGGUAGUUUCGCGUUGUCUAUGCAUGAAAAAUGAUUAAAAAAAA